rnacentral:rRNA from 1 species
GACGAACGCUGGCGGCGUGCUUAACACAUGCAAGUCGAGCGGUAAGGCCCUUCGGGUACGACGAGCGGCGAACGGGUGAGUAACACGUGGGUGACCUGCCUCUAGCUCUGGGAUAAGCCUGGGAAACGUGGGUCUAAUACCGGAUAUGACUCCACGGCGCAUGUUGUGGGGUGGAAAGCCUUGUGUGGCUAGAGAUGGGGCCCGCGGCCUAAUCAGCUUGUUGGUGGGGNGAUGGCCUACCAAGGCGACGACGGGUAGCCGGCCUGAGAGGGCGACCGGCCACACUGGGACUGAGACACGGCCCAGACUCCUACGGGAGGCAGCAGUGGGGAAUCUUGCGCAAUGGGACGAAAGCCUGACGCAGCGACGCCGCGUGAGGGAUGACGGCC